rnacentral:lncRNA from 1 species
GGUUCAAUCUCUAUCCAGACUCUAGAGUUAAGCAUUUAACCAAAUUCGCUUCAGACCAUUGCCCUAUCCUUCUCAUGGCUCAUCAAUCCCAAGGUAAUCGUCAUUGUCCCUUUCGAUUUGAAAAAUUCUAGAAUUUGUGUGAUGGGGUCUAGCAUGUUAUUGCCAAAGCAUGGAGGGGUCAUGACCACCUUCCACCGGAUGCUAGA